rnacentral:lncRNA from 1 species
GGAGCUGGAAACCGAGGGACCCCGGCAGGCGUUUCCAGCUGGACUGUCGCCAUCUUGUGGCAGGACUGGGUGGCCACACUGGCCCAACGGCCAGAUCCGCAUGCCCACAACUUUCUUGGGUUCCAAACGUACCUUUCCUUCUUUCCCCAACCUGCUAGGAACUGGAUUUUAAAAUCACGUUCCCUGAAGAUACCUCGGUUCUGUCCUCUCCCAAUUGCACGGGCGUUGUCUUCCUAAAAGCUACCCUGCUCUUUGGAGAGUCCAGUGCAAGCCUCACUGAGGGGCUCUGUGUUAAAUCCAUCAAAACCAACUCGUACGAGGCGUCAAUCCUCCACCAAUUUCCCAUGAGACAAACCAAUGAUUAAGAGCACAGAGACGCACUCUGGUGAGGAAUCCAAAGUUCAAGAAAAGUUCAAAUAACCCACUCACAGUUGCACAGCUAGAGGGAGAGCUGGGAUAGAUCUAUAAAGCUGCAACUCCUGUGCACACAGAAAUAUGAAGCCACUUUCACCCUCUGGAAUCCUUCAGGACUUUCAGAGCUUACCUAAAUCAACCAAUCAGAACUCACCUGCCUCAGCCAACCAGGGUUCAGCUUUAUCUACCAAUCAGAACUCAGCUCAUCAACCAAUCAGAAUGAAGCAAGUUUGAAUCUUUCAAUUAAAUAAGGGAAUCUGAGUGAGAACCUGGGAAGGAACUUUUGCCAUAAUACCCAAACCCUCUCUUUGUUCUCUGGAAUGCACCUUUGCUUUACACUGAAGGCUGUGUCUCCCUGGUUUGCAAACGGUUCAUUGGAAUAAAGUCUCUUUCUUCCAAA